rnacentral:rRNA from 1 species
UACGUAGGGGGCAAGCGUUGUCCGGAUUUAUUGGGCGUAAAGAGCGUGUAGGCGGUUUGGUAGGUCCGCUGUGAAAACUCGAGGCUCAACCUCGAGACGCCGGUGGAAACCAUCAGACUAGAGUCCGGAAGAGGAGAGUGGAAUUCCUGGUGUAGCGGUGAAAUGCGCAGAUAUCAGGAAGAACACCCGUGGCUAAGGCGGCUCGCUGGGACGGUACUGACACUGAGACGCGAAAGCGUGGGGAGCAAACAGG